rnacentral:rRNA from 1 species
GACGAACCGUGCGAACGUUGUUCGGAUUCACUGGGCUUAAAGGGCGCGUAGGCGGCUUGCCAAGUCAGGGGUGAAAUCUUUCGGCUUAACCGGAAAAGUGCUUCUGAUACUGGCGGGCUGGAGGGAGGUAGGGGCAGACGGAACUUCCGGUGGAGCGGUGAAAUGCGUAGAUAUCGGAAGGAACGCCGGUGGCGAAAGCGGUCUGCUGGACCUCUUCUGACGCUGAGGCGCGAAAGCCAGGGGAGCAAACGGG